AGGACGAACGCUGGCGGCGUGCUUAACACAUGCAAGUCGAACGGUAAGGCCUUUCGGGGUACACGAGUGGCGAACGGGUGAGUAACACGUGGGUGAUCUGCCCUGCACUUUGGGAUAAGCCUGGGAAACUGGGUCUAAUACCGAAUAUGACCAUUGGUUGCAUGACUGGUGGUGGAAAGCUUUUGCGGUGUGGGAUGGGCCCGCGGCCUAUCAGCUUGUUGGUGGGGUUAAGGCCUACCAAGGCGACGACGGGUAGCCGGCCUGAGAGGGUGUCCGGCCACACUGGGACUGAGAUACGGCCCAGACUCCUACGGGAGGCAGCAGUGGGGAAUAUUGCACAAUGGGCGCAAGCCUGAUGCAGCGACGCCGCGUGAGGGACGACGGCCUUCGGGUUGUAAACCUCUUUCAGUAGGGCGAAGCGCAAGUGACGGUACCUACAGAAGAAGGACCGGCCAACUACGCGCCAGCAGCCGC
rnacentral:rRNA from 1 species